rnacentral:rRNA from 1 species
AUUUUGGACAAUGGGCGAAAGCCUGAUCCAGCAAUGCCGCGUGUGCGAAGAAGGCCUUCGGGUUGUAAAGCACUUUUGUCCGGAAAGAAAUCCGUCUGGCUAAUAUCCGGAUGGGAUGACGGUACCCAGAGAAGAAGCACCGGCUAACUCUGUGCCAGCAGCCGCGGUAAUACAGAGGGUGCAAGCGUUAAUCGGAAUUACUGGGCGUAAAGCGUGCGUAGGUGGUUUGUUAAGUCGGAUGUGAAAUCCCCGGGCUCAACCUGGGAACUGCAUUCGAUACUGGCAAGCUAGAGUGUGGUAGAGGGUAGUGGAAUUCCCGGUGUAGCGGUGAAAUGCGUAGAUAUCGGGAGGAACAUCAGUGGCGAAGGCGGCUACCUGGACCACAACUGACACUGAGGCACGAAAGCGUGGGGAGCAAA